rnacentral:rRNA from 1 species
UACGGAGGGUGCAAGCGGUACUCGGAAUCACUGGGCGUAAAGGGCGCGUAGGCGGCCUAGCAAGUCUGGUGUGAAAGCCCAGGGCCCAACCCUGGAAGGGCACUGGAAACUGUUAGGCUUGAGUUCCGGAGAGGAGGGGGGAAUUCCCGGUGUAGCGGUGAAAUGCGUAGAUAUCGGGAGGAAUACCGGUGGCGAAGGCGUCCCUCUGGACGGAAACUGACGCUGAGGCGCGAAAGCGUGGGGAGCAAACAGG